CAAAAACCUCAGUUCAUCCAGGGUUAGUCCUCUAUAGGUCCUCUUGUAUAUCCAACUAAAACUCAAGAGAAUACGAAUGCUGACUGAAAGCACAGUGUGCUCUCCUCGGGCACGCAGGAUCCCAGCUCAAUCCAAAAUUUAAAAAGAGGCAAUCUGACAUUCCUAUGCAUGGAAACAAAAGUUAAAUAGCGAGGGAUGACUGUCCUGCAGAAAUAUAAAGUUAAAACCAGGCACCAAUAAAUCUUUGGAAAGUUACUUUUAUGUUUGCUUACAAAUUCACUAACUCUUAGACCAUUUUAAAUUACAAUUGAAUUCAAGCCCACUUGCACAAACCACCUCUAGAAUGAAUGCAGAGUCUGUGUUUAUUUUCUCCUCACCCAAAAUGUCUUCCAAGAAAAUGAUGAGAACCACAGCUCUGAAGUGGAGCAGAGCACUGUAGCUGCUCAGGCUGGAUACCAGGAUUCUUGGGUAAUGGUGCACUUGGUGAGAAGGAACAGGAGGUAGGAAAAAUGGGACUAGCAACCCUGCAACUUGGCUAACAAAGAGAAAUGGGAAGGAUAGACGGUCCACCAGUGCCUGUUGCGGGCAACUGCAGAAGUGAUCACCAAGUAAGAGAAGCCCACCUAAUCCAGGCGAAGGAUCCUUGUUCAACUACAAGAGAGAUCCUGUCAAUGAACCAAGGGGGAAAAUUCCUCCCCGAUUCCACAUUUAGAGAUUAGUUUACCUCUAUGCAUGAGCCCAACCCCAUCCCUGGUCUUCAGGGCCUGAGCUGCAAUGUCUACACCGCUAUUUUUAGUGCAAUAGCAUGAGUCCUGCAAGCCUGAGUCUGUAGACCCAGGCUCAGACUCGCUGCCACGGGUUUUAAAAUGCAGUGUAGACAUACACACUAUGUCUAAACUUUAAUUUUCAGUUGUGUUUUAACACCUGUUAAUUAACAUGACUAAACACAAACUUUGCUCCAGGAUAUGUGUCUGUUCCUUGUCAUGUUUAACCACUGGCUUCUAGCAUCUACACUAAAAUUUACAAUUAUCUUAUUUAGCAGUAUUAAAACACAACAAAAAUGAGACACAAAAAUCCCUGUCAGGCAAAUACAGAAGAAAGUUUAAGCACUUUAAAACACAAUGUUAGCUAUGAACUACGCAGGGAAGGAUGAACCAGUAGUUAGGGUGUUAGCUAGGGAUUCGUAAGUCCCGGGUUCAAUUCCCUGCUCCGUCCACGGAUUUUCUGGGCAAGUCACUUAGUCACUCUGUGCCUCAGGUCCCCAUCUGUAAAUUGGAAAUAAAUAGAAGUUCCUCACAGGAUUGUUGUGAGGAUAAAUGCAUUAAAGACUGUCUGAUAUUAUGGUAAUAAGGGGUCAUUUAAGUACAUACAAUAGCAAGCCAGCCACUAAUAUGGUAGAAAGAGCCUAAAUGUCAGUCCUUUUAAUCUACAAGGAGUAAUUGGUACAAUAUCUGGAACAUCUGUUUGUAUCGUUCUAGAUACUCACGGAGGAGAUUUCAAGAUCUAACACUUGUAUAUUAAAACACACUGCCCCAGAAAAGACACUGACUGCUUCAAAAAAUUUAAAACAUACUUUAGAGCAGAGAUCCCCAACGUGGCGCUCGACGGGGUGUUUAUGUGCCCCCGCCGAGUGACACUGUGUGAAAACUAGUGCCCAGCAGGGGAGAGAAGCCACAGCCCCGCACCUGCCGGGGACAGAGAACUCCGGGGCUGCAGGCUGCGAGUGCCGGUGUUCUCUGUCCCCGGCAGGGGCGGGGCCGCGGCUUCUCUCCGCAUUACCCAGAACUGCCAAAAAAAAAAAAAAAAAAGCUGCUUAGACUGCUGCUGCCGGAACUGCCAAAGCGCAAAAAAAAAAAAAAAAAAAAAAACACCACUCGGACUCUGCCGCCCCAAGAAUGGACAGAAUGCCGCCCCCAGGCACGUGCUGGCUCCUGGAGCCGGCCCUGUAGGUGAGCAUUCUUCCGCUGCACUGAUACUGCUGUUUUCUCACGCUUUGCGAUUUUUUUUUUUUUAAAACAUUUUGCCCCAAAAUGAGUCGUUCAAAUAAAAGACAAUGUACGUAUUAUUUCAACGCAGAGUGGGAGGAAUCCUAUUGUUUUCUUGAAAAUAAAGGGAAAUGUGUUUGCUUAUUGUGCGGUGGUACUGUUGCAGUGCCGAAAAAACAAUGUCAGACGCCAUUUCCAAACUAAUUACAGCUCUUUUAACACUUGCCAUCCACUUAAAUCUGAGUUGAGAAAGAAGAAAAUGAAUCAACUCAAACCAAACCUAUCUGCCCAUCAAUCUGUUUUCACUAGACAAGUGGUAAAGUCCAGAAGUGCUACUAUGGCUUCCUUUAAAAUUGCUCAUCUGCUCGCAAAGAAGAAAAAACCGUUUCAAGAUGGUGAAUUGUUGAAAGAAGCAUUUUUGACUGGUACUGAUUGCCUGUUUCAAGGAUUUCCUAACAAGCGUGAGAUUUUGUCAGCAAUACAAGACUUGCAGUUAUCAGACAACACAGUUACGAGGAGGAUACAUACAAUUUCAAGCGACAUGCAAACUCAGCUAAAGGAUGACUUGGAAAUAUGUGACUGGUUUUCACUGCAGUUCGAUGAGUCGACAGAUAUAUCGGAUACAGCACAGUUGGCAGUUAUGGUGAGGGUGGUAUUUAGUGACUUCACCAUAAAAGAAGAGUUAAGUAUUGCCUAUGAAAGGGUGAACAAAGGGUGAGGACAUCUAUAAUUUAUUCAAAUCAUACUCAACAUCAAUUAGUAUGCCACUACACAAGCUGUCUGCGAUCACCACUGAUGGGGCACCAGCAACGAUGGGCAGCGCCAAUGGAUUCAUUGCACUCUGCAAGAAGAAUGAAUCCUUUCCGAACUUUAUGUCUUAUCAUUGCAUUAUCCAUCAAGAAGCUUUGUGUGUCAAAGUUCAUUCUUUUCAACACAUCAUGAAUGUCAUUAUUAAAAUAAUUAACUCUAUUCGAGUGAAACCUUUGCAACACCGACUUCUUAAGGCCCUGUUGGAAGAGGUUGAUGAUAAACAAUCUGAUCUUAUCUUGCACACAGAAGUACAAUGGCUGAGCAAAGGUAAAGUUCUUGCACGUUUUUUAAGCCUAAUUCAAGAGAUCAAAGAAUUUCUGAAGUCCACAAAUCAGAACUUCGAGCAACUAGAAGACUUCAGCUCGUUAAUGGACUUGGCUUUUCUUGCCACCAUCGCUGACAAAUUGAACAUUUUAAAUCUUGAGCUCCACGGAAAAGACAAACAUGUGGCUCAAAUGAUAGGUUCUGUAAAAUGAUUCAAAUUAAAACUGAUCUUGUAGAUGUCACAUAUGAAGACGAAGUCUCUCGUACAUUUCCCAAGUCUGAAGAAAAUGGUAUGUGACAGUGAUUUUAACCCAUCACCAUGAGCAAAUUCACAUGCAAGAAUCCCAGAUUCUCAAAUAAGGACAUCCAUACAAACCAGAGCUGACAAGGAGGUGAAUGACUAAAAGAUAGUCCAUCCAGUCGGAAGUUGUUCCAGCUACAGCAGGCCUUUGUACCAGGAAAGGGUUUAAAAAUAUUAUCAAGCUAAAGAUUCCACGCCACCUUCACAUAGAUCUGAACAGCAAAAGUGGCAUCUAAAACUUCAUUUCCCCAAGUCCAAAGGGCUCAAGUCUGAUGUCCAGGCCAUCUCUAAUGCUCCCCCAUUACAAGAGCUCCUCAAAUACUGUUGCUGUGCAAGAGCAAACUACAUCAUCAUUAUUAAUUAUUUCUACUGUGAUAGCUGCCAGAGCUCCAAUCAGCAGCAAGGCCCUGUUGUGCUAAGCCAGGGAUUCCCAAACUUGGUUAGCGGCUUGUUCAGGGGUAAGCCCCUGGCGGGCCGCGAGACGCUUUGUUUACCCGAGCGUCCGCAGGUACAGCAGCUCACAGCUUCCAGUGGAUAUGGUUCACCAUUCCCAGCCAAUGGGAACUGCAGGAAGAGGUGGCAAAUACUGCAAAUACUGAAGUUAGUUAUCUAAGGCAACAUGGUGACUUUCCAAAGCACUGGUAUGAACUGCAGCAAUAAAUGGAUAUACAUUUCCUGAGAUCCAGGAUAAUGCAGUGAUACUGGAACAGCAGACAAGGUGAGAAAGACAGACACCGCCACUACCACCACCACAAGGAACUGAGAGCAAAUCUGACUGAUAUCCGACAAAUCUUCAAAUCUUCAUACGUGUUUAAAAAGUGACAUUUCUUCAAAGGUAUCAACUCACAGGUGAAAUGCUAAUAUGAUUUUUUUUAAAUGCUUGGGGUUGGCAAUAUUGCUCACUUCAGUGAGAACUGAGGGUAUUCAUCACCUUAUAGGGAAUGGUCUUUCUCCAGCCUCGUAAGAAGCCUGUGAAAUAAAAGACACAUUUAAUUUACAUCCAGGUCUCAUCUAAUGGAGACAGUGAAUUGAUGUUUUGACCCAUGGGGACAACUUCCCAAAUGACAGAAGCUAAGAAUCCUCUAAAGAAUAUUUUGUCAAAAGCUACUGGCCAAGGACAGAUUCUCUGACACAGCAGAUGGUACAAACCACCCGCAAGAUAUUCCAAAGCUUGCAGAGAGUAUUUUUUAUUUUGUUAUUUUAAAGAAGCACUGGGUAUUCUGCACUGAUUAGUGUUGUCAUAGCCAUACAAUUCACAAGUUAACAGUUCAAUAUGUUAAAGCUGGUUAACACACUAGAAGCCCAAUCAUUCAUGAAAGGUUAGAGAAAGCACAGCAGAGAUAGGGGAAGGACAGCAGAAUUUUGAUAGGAAUAUGUAUUAAACUUCUUUUAAAUGCAUGUUAUCUAUGUGAGAGCUCAAAAUGGCUCACUUCAGUCAAUUGGGUUAAUUUCUACUUUGCUUAAUUAUGCACAGUCUGUAUUUUAUUUACCAAUAAAGCAUAUUAAACCCUAUAAUUAGGCACCAAGACUCCUGUCCCUGCAGUUACACAAGCCAAUGGAAUUACUCAAGUGUUCAAAGCUAAGCGUGUGAGUAAGGUCUUGUAGCACUGGGGCUAUAAUCACUGUUUUCUUAAGAGGGAUGUAUCACAUUUGCACAGUACUGUCUUUGGAAGAGCCAUUUUUAAAGGAAGCAUCAGAUAGAGACUAAACAUUUCACAUCACAGUCCAAAAUUUUAAGGCAGCCUCAGCCCCUGAAAAGGAGGGUUCAUGAAAAUAGAUGAUGACCGAAA